UUCAGGAAAUACAUUUUGAAGCAACCCUGGUCAAAGAGGAAGAGGUCAGAUACAUUGCAAGGAGCAAAGUGUGGGUGUUUUCAGCAGGAUGCCCUUUGAUCCUCAGCUGCAGCCUGGCUGGUAGUGCCACCAGUCAUACAGCCAUACUGUAAAAGAGCUGUGAGCAAACUGGUCUAGAGGAAGGUGUCCCUGCACAUUGCACAGGGGUUGGAACUAGAUGAUCUUCAGGUCUUUUCCAACCCAAACUAUGGUGUGAUUCUAUAUAAUUUUUCACCUCAGAAGAAGCAAACACAUGUAGCCAGUGUAGUACACUGCCCUGCACUUCCAGUUUGGACAGAAGAGUUGCAACAGCAGAUGCUUGAGCAGAUAUAAAAGCAUUGCUAAAGAAAUGGACCGAGGAUCCAAUUCCAGUUUCGGGGCUGCUGUUCUCUCUUGCUGGCAUGAUUCAUGAAAGCUGCUCCAAGCACUGUCUCUGAAGCUCCUGCUGAAGUGACCAGGGUAUGACAUGGCCCUUCUGGGAGGCUUCAGUGGAAACAUCCACCUGGUAGCCUAACACCAGCAGAUGAUUCCCAGUGCUGGCAGUGGGUUACCCUUUCCUAACAAAUAAGUCUUUUAAAA